GGAGAGGUGGCCGAGCGGUCAAAGGCGUACGCCUGGAGAGCGUAUGAGCUUAAUAGGCUCCGUGGGUUCAAAUCCCACCCUCUCCGCCA
rnacentral:tRNA from 1 species